UACAGAGGUCCCAAGCGUUGUUCGGAUUCACUGGGCGUAAAGGGUGCGUAGGUGGCUUGGAAAGUUUGAUGUGAAAGCUCAGGGCUUAACCCUGAAAUGGCAUUGAAUACUGCUGAGCUGGAGGUUUGGAGGGGGGACUGGAAUUCUUGGUGUAGCAGUGAAAUGCGUAGAUAUCAAGAGGAACACCAGUGGCGAAGGCGAGUCCCUGGACAACACCUGACACUGAGGCACGAAAGCUAGGGGAGCAAACAGG
rnacentral:rRNA from 1 species